GACGAACGCUGGCGGCGUGCUUAACACAUGCAAGUCGAACGGAAAGGCCCUGCUUUUGUGGGGUGCUCGAGUGGCGAACGGGUGAGUAACACGUGAGUAACCUGUCCUUGACUUUGGGAUAACUUCAGGAAACUGGGGCUAAUACCGGAUAGGAGCUCCUGCUGCAUGGUGGGGGUUGGAAAGUUUCGGCGGUUGGGGAUGGACUCGCGGCUUAUCAGCUUGUUGGUGGGGUAGUGGCUUACCAAGGCUUUGACGGGUAGCCGGCCUGAGAGGGUGACCGGCCACAUUGGGACUGAGAUACGGCCCAGACUCCUACGGGGGGCAGCAGUGGGGAAUAUUGCACAAUGGGCGGAAGCCUGAUGCAGCAACGCCGCGUGCGGGAUGACGGCCUUCGGGUUGUAAACCGCUUUCGCCUGUGACGAAGCGUGAGUGACGGUAAUGGGUAAAGAAGCACCGGCUAACUACGUG
rnacentral:rRNA from 1 species